GACGAACGCUGGCGGCGUGCUUAACACAUGCAAGUCGAACGAUGAAGGAGAGCUUGCUCUCCGGAUUAGUGGCGAACGGGUGAGUAACACGUGACUAACCUGCCCCUUUCUCUGGGAUAACGCUCCGAAAGGAGUGCUAAUACCGGAUACGAACUCUGAACACAUGUUCGGAGUUGGAAAGUUUUUCGGAAAGGGAUGGAGUCGCGGCCUAUCAGCUUGCUGGUGAGGUAACGGCUCACCAAGGCGACGACUGGUAGCCGGCCUGAGAGGGCGACCGGCCACACUGGGACUGAGACACGGCCCAGACUCCUACGGGAUGCAGCAGGUGGUAAUAUUGCACAAUGGGCGAAAGCCUGAUACGGCGACGCCGCGUGAGGGAUGAAGGUCUUCGGAUUGUAAACCUCUUUCAGUAGGGACGAAGCGAAAGUGACGGUACCUAAAGAAGAAGCACCGGCUAACUACGUGCCAGCAGCCGCCGUAA
rnacentral:rRNA from 1 species